GCCUUCGUAGUGUAAUGGUCAGAACUCUCGGCGCGUAUUCCAGAGGUCCUAGGUUCGAGUCCCGGCGAGGGCA
rnacentral:tRNA from 1 species